rnacentral:rRNA from 1 species
UAGGGAAUCUUCGGCAAUGGGGGCAACCCUGACCGAGCAACGCCGCGUGAGUGAAGAAGGUUUUCGGAUCGUAAAGCUCUGUUGUAAGAGAAGAACGAGUGUGAGAGUGGAAAGUUCACACUGUGACGGUAACUUACCAGAAAGGGACGGCUAACUACGUGCCAGCAGCCGCGGUAAUACGUAGGUCCCGAGCGUUAUCCGGAUUUAUUGGGCGUAAAGCGAGCGCAGGCGGUUAGAUAAGUCUGAAGUUAAAGGCUGUGGCUUAACCAUAGUACGCUUUGGAAACUGUUUAACUUGAGUGCAGAAGGGGAGAGUGGAAUUCCAUGUGUAGCGGUGAAAUGCGUAGAUAUAUGGAGGAACACCGGUGGCGAAAGCGGCUCUCUGGUCUGUAACUGACGCUGAGGCUCGAAAGCGUGGGGAGCAAACAGGAUUAGAUACCCUGGUAGUUCACGCCGUAAACGAUGAGUGCUAGGUGUUGGGUCCUUUCCGGGACUCAGUGCCGCAGCUAACGCAUUAAGCACUCCGCCUGGGGAGUACGACCGCAAGGUUG